rnacentral:rRNA from 1 species
GACGAACCGUGCGAACGUUAUUCGGAAUCAUUGGGCUUAAAGGGCGCGUAGGCGGCGGUGUAAGUUGGAAGUGAAAUCCCAUCGGCUCAACCGUGGAAUUGCUCCCAGUACUGCAUCGCUCGAGGGGCGUAGGGGGACCUGGAACUUCCGGUGGAGCGGUGAAAUGCGUAGAGAUCAUGAGGAAGACCAGUGGCGAAGGCGGGUCUCUGGACAGUUCCUGACACUGAGACACGAAGGCCCAGGGGAGCAAACGGG